AUGAAAGAAGACUACAUAGACAUACUACAUACUACAUACCUUGAGAAGUUCAAAGAAGACUAUGUUUCCGGCCUACGCUUCUGCAUGGCCAUGAAAGUAUCAAUUAUGUCAUCUUCAUUCACCUCAGAGAAAAUAUCCCGCUCAAUGUAUGUGACCAGGCAAUCAUCCAAAAGACUAUCACCCAUCUUAUUUCUCAACUUGUUUUUGACUAAACUCAUGGCAGAAAAUGCUCUAUCAACAUUUGCCGUUGCCACUGGUAGAAUCAAUACCAAUUUUAGAAGUAAGCACACGAAAUUAUGA
rnacentral:rRNA from 1 species